GUGUGUGUGGUCCAAAAUUUUUUGACUUCCAAACAACCACAAAACCAUAACAACUUUAAGUCCUAAUUGGUUCCAAAAUAUUGGGGACUUAAUGUAUUAGUUCACUUUUAAACUUAAACCACACAACCACACAAAACGUCUAAGGGCAAUUUCAUCUUUUCACACCAUCGAUAACAAUAAUUCGAGACGGGCUGCAACAUGUAAUGUCGGUUAUAAAAAAGGUCUUUCGCACGUGGAUAAUAAUGUGAUUAAAUUGGUUGUCAUAUGAUUUUUUUUUUAACAAACAAUAUUAUCUACAUUAAGGGAGAGGGGUGGGCUUAGCCUAUCACUGAGCUAGUAAUAAUGUAAUUCAAUCAGUUGUUUAUUAAAUAUUAUUUUCUUUAUUUUUAUACACGUUCAAAAUAUCUUAAGAGGUAUGUAUUGCCGGUUAUAAAAAUGGUCUUUCACACGCAGAUAAUAAUGUGAUUAAAUUAGUUGUUAAUUGAUUGUUUUUUUUUUUAACAAACGAUAUUAUCUACACUAAGGAUGAGGAAUGUGGGCUUAGCCUCAUGGGAUAGCACUAAUGUAAUUCAAUCAAUUACUUAUUAAAUAUUAUUUUCUCUAUUCUUAAUGUAAAUUUUAUAGAGACUGAUUUUAUUAUAUAAAUUUAACUGCUUUAAUUAGUUUAUGAGGGGUUUCUUCUAGCAUGAUCUAAGAUUAUUCAUUUACUUCAAAUAUUUUACUUUCCUUUUGUUAAUUUAUGCAUAUAAUAAAUUUGAAACUUGUAAAUAUAUAAAGCCAAUGGAAAAGUGAAUAGUGAUUUUGGUGUCACCAAGCUUCAACAAAAAGAUUUGGACAAAAAUGCCCCCAAGACAAAAAACUUCAAAGGCAUCCCAAAAUAAUGCAUCAAAUAAGACAAUGACAUUUUCGUCAUGUUAACAGUAUUUUUUAAUAAUUAAUUUUUUGGUACUUUUUUUUAGUAUGUCACAAUAGACUAGCAAUAAUGUGAUUCAAUUUUUCUAUUUUUAAACACGUUCAAAAUAUCUUAAGAGGCUUGUAAUGCUAGUUAUAAAAAAAAGGUCUUUCGCACGCUAAUAAUAAUAUGAUUAAAUAAGUUGUCAAUGAUUUUUUAUUUUUUUUAACAAACGAUAUUAUCUACAUUAAGGAGGAUGAGGGUGGGCAUAACCUCACAAUAGGCUAGCAAUAAUGUGAUUCAAUCAGUUGUUUAUUAAAUAUUACUUUCUCUAUUUUUAAACGCAUUCAAAACAUCUUAAGAUGUGUGUAAUGCUGGUUAUAGAAAAAGGUAUUUCGCAUGCAGAUAAUAAUGUGAUUAAAUUAGUUGUCAAAUGAUUGUUUUUUUUUAACAAACGAUAUUAUUUACACUAAGGGGGAGGAGUGGGCUUAGCCUCACAAUGGGCUAGCAAUAAUGUGAUUCAAUCAAUUAUUUAUUAAAUAUUAUUUUCUCUAUUCUUAAUGUAAAUUUUAUAGAGACCGAUUUUAUUAUGUGAAUUCAGCUGCUUUAAUUGUUUUAUAUGGGGUUUCUUCUAGCAUAAUAUAAGAUUAUUCAUUUAUUUCAAAUAUUUGGCUUUCCUUUUGUCAAUUUACGCAUAUAAAUACAUUUAAAAUGUUUAAGUCGCGUGUAGUACGCCGUAAUUCAAAAAAUGUCUUCAUCAUUUUAAUUAGUUUUUUUGUGCUGUUUUUUUUUAAUGAUUAAUACCUCACAAUAUGGUAGCAAUAAUGUGAUUUAAUUUCUCUAUUUUAAAAAACGUUCAAAAUAUCUUAAGAGGCGUGUAAUGCAGGUUAUAAAAAAUUUCUUUCACACGCAGAUAAUAAUGUGAUUAAAUUAGUUGUCAAAUGAUUGUUUUUUUAUAACAAAUGAUAUUAUCUACACCAAGGGGAAGGAGGUGGGCUUAGCUUCACAAUAAGCUAGUAAUAAUGUGAUUCAAUUAGUU
rnacentral:lncRNA from 1 species